CGGGGGUAGGGAACCACCUAUUUGCCCCGUCUCCCAGGCAGAAAGGUCUUUUGGCAAGACUGGCUUGAUAAAGAUGGCCCUGGAAUGUCUAGAGUCCGGGCCGUGAUGAUCACUGAGUGAGUGGCACUGGGCUCAGGCUGGGCAGUUUGUUGACUGACAAAGAGGAAUGCUAGCAGUUAGGAAGGUGAGGAGGAAACUCAGGAUGGGGACCAUCUGCUCCCCCAACCCCAGCGGGACAAAGACAUCAUCGGAGGUCUGCAAUGCCGACUGGAUGGCCUCGCUCCCCCUUCACCUCCACAACGUCCCCCUUUCCAAUCUGGCAAUCCCAGUGUCAACCCUCGCCCAGAUGCUCCUCACUGCUCUCCAAUUCCCAGACCCUUCUCCGUUCUCAUCUUCCUGAGGAUCAUCCCCUUCUUUUUUACGUUUCGGAAUUCUAUCCCUGUCCCACGCAGUUCCGCCUUUGACCACUUGACCUGACGGUAUCAAAGGAAGAACCAGGAGGCAUCUGUACCCUGUACUGCUAAUGUGUCAGAGUGCGCAGCAGUCUGCGUAACGGUGGAACUGAACGAUUCCUAGACACUGUCCGACUGAGAUGAAUAUUUUAUGAACAUGUAUGAUUUGAAGGCUUCUAUGCUGAAAGCAAUAUUCUUAUAAAGUAUAAUUGAAACCAGGUGAAAAAAUGUCAAAGAGAUAAAGGUGAAGACAGCAUCCCUCCUUCCUGAACUUUGAGUUCAGGUCACUGUCGUGGCAAGAGGUGCCCAUAUGGAUCUUCAAAGCUCUUCACCCUUUUGCUUCUUUUGGUUUUCACUGCCUAGAUUUAAAAAAUGUAUUCAUUUAAAGGAAAGUUGGGUAUUCAAAGGAUGUUUGUUGAACAUUUUUGUGCCGGGUACUGUGUUAGAUGAGGUGAGCAUGGAGGAAAGAGUCUUCUCCCUGCUCUUCAUGAAGUUAUGGUCUUAAAAGAGAAGCUAAAAUUCAAACACUGUGGAGAAGAAUGCAUAGGAUACUGUAACACUCAGAAAGCCAAUUCCCAAUUCCAUUACUGGGAGGAGGCGGGAAGCCUGGUAGAUUGAGCUUUCAAGAGGAGCCUUGGGUUGAAUCAUAAAGAGCAAAUAGUAAAUAGGUGUUAAAGGUAGAGGGAAGGUUAUCACAAUGCAGAGGUACCCAGGAGGAGCGAGGAGUGAGAGAUUAGGGUGACCUUGAGAAAAGCCAACCAGUCUGGUAUGGUCAGAACGUAGAUUUCAUUUAAACAGAGAUGAGACUGGCAAAGUAGGCUAAAGAGUCUUACGUGCCAUGCUAAGAUUAAACUUUAAACAUUAUCCCAGGGCAAACAGCAGCCACUGAAAGACUUGGUCAGCAAUGGGUGAAAAGCCCCCAAAUAACUACAUAAGGGUGAAGAGAAACAAAAUGGCACAUCAGUUAUUAGGAAUGCUGAGGGGUAAUAUGAGAAACUUACUCUUUCUUUCAUUUCUAUUUAAUACAUAUGUAUUGAUUUCCUCUCAUAUGUCAGGCACUCUCCUAGACACAGUGAUGAUCAUUACACACAGUUCCUGCCUUCAAAGAGCUUACAAUCUAGUUGGAGAAAUGGACUUUUUUCCUUAAGAUUUUAUUUAUUUAUUUGAGAGUGA